GAGGUUAAUUUGUGUAUCACUGAAUAUUGUAUGCUUUUUUUCAGGAUCAGCUAAGAUGUUAUUUCACUGGAUUAUUUAAUUGGGCAUAUAAUUGGAUAAUUCUGUCCUCAACCUGGAAGAUAUGUUUUAUUCCUAACCAUCUAUAAUCCAUUCUCUAUGAAGUUCAGCCUGUCUGCCCAAAUUCCUUUGGAAAUACAUAGUUAGUCAACCAACAUAGAAACAAUCAAACUUGAAGUCAUCAACAUGGAAGAUAUGUUUUGUUCCUAACCAUCUAUAAUCCAUUCUCUAUGAAGUUCAGCCUGUCUGCUCUUCCUUUGGAAAUACACAGUUAGUCAAUCAACAUAGAAACACACAAACUUGAAGGAUUCUCAAUGGGGAACUCAGUAAAUUAUGCACAGACUAACAGAAUAUACUCUCUUGGAACACUGAUACAAGAAUAUAAAACCAGAGAUGGAUGGAGGACUCAAGAAGCACAUGAAUAAAUAUGAUUCCAAACUAAGU